GGAGAGGUGGCCGAGCGGUUGAAGGCGGCGGUCUUGAAAACCGUUGAACGAAAGUUCCGGGGGUUCGAAUCCCUCCCUCUCCGCCA
rnacentral:tRNA from 1 species